rnacentral:rRNA from 1 species
AGAGUUUGAUCCUGGCUCAGGAUGAACGCUAGCGGCGGGCUUAAUACAUGCAAGUCGAGGGGCAGCAUAACACUUCGGUGUUGAUGGCGACCGGCGAACGGGUGAGUAACGCGUAUGUAACCUGCCUACUACAGAGGGAUAGCCCAUGGAAACGUGGAUUAAUACCUUAUGGUACAUUUAGACCUCAUGGUUAAAAUGUUAAAGAUUUAUCGGUAGUAGAUGGACAUGCGUCUGAUUAGGUAGUUGGUGAGGUAACGGCUCACCAAGCCAACGAUCAGUAGGGGGUUUGAGAGGAUGAUCCCCCACACUGGAACUGAGACACGGUCCAGACUCCUACGGGAGGCAGCAGUAGGGAAUAUUGGUCAAUGGAGGCAACUCUGAACCAGCCACGCCGCGUGUAGGAAGAAUGUCCUUAGGAUUGUAAACUACUUUUAUCAGGGAAGAAUGACGAGUAUGCGUACUCGGAGCGACGGUACCUGAAGAAUAAGCACCGGCUAACUACGUGCCAGCAGCCGCGGUAAU